GCAACGCGAAGAACCUUACCUACUCUUGACAUCCACAGAACUUUCCAGAGAUGGAUUGGUGCCUUCGGGAACUGUGAGACAGGUGCUGCAUGGCUGUCGUCAGCUCGUGUUGUGAAAUGUUGGGUUAAGUCCCGCAACGAGCGCAACCCUUAUCCUUUGUUGCCAGCGCGUCAUGGCGGGAACUCAAAGGAGACUGCCGGUGAUAAACCGGAGGAAGGUGGGGAUGACGUCAAGUCAUCAUGGCCCUUACGAGUAGGGCUACACACGUGCUACAAUGGCAUAUACAAAGAGAAGCGAACUCGCGAGAGCAAGCGGACCUCAUAAAGUAUGUCGUAGUCCGGAUCGGAGUCUGCAACUCGACUCCGUGAAGUCGGAAUCGCUAGUAAUCGUAGAUCAGAAUGCUACGGUGAAUACGUUCCCGGGCCUUGUACACACCGCCCGUCACACCAUGGGAGUGGGUUGCAAAAGAAGUAGGUAGCUUAACCUUCGGGAGGGCGCUUACCACUUUGUGAUUCAUGACUGGGGUGAAGUCGUAACAAGGUAACCGUAGGGGAACCUGC
rnacentral:rRNA from 1 species